UUUAGAAUCUUUUACUUGAUAGUGGGACAUGUUGGAUGUGUAUGUGGAAUCCAGACUGUUCAUUUGCCAGGCCUCGCUGUAGAUGGGACAUCCACCGGUGAGAUCAUGGUCAAUGGCUGGACCUUUUCUCCUAGCUGCAUAAUUGCAAACUUCAUAAGUCAUCCAAUCCAGUCAGUGGUUUAGAUGGAUUAUCCUACCUGCCAAUUGUAGUAGCUUUUCCCAUUGAAACUUGACCAUUGGUUAGAAUUUUUUCUUCUACAAUCAGUGGGUAGGAUCAUUCAAUUAGUGUUGUUCUUGGGGUAUCCCUAAUUCAAUCCAGGGAUCGACAGAUGAAUGGCGUGGAUCCUGUUGAUACCGGCCAUAUCAGUGGCGAUUUAGAGCAGAGCCCCUUUGUCUGGUUAUUUUCAGAGCACCAGUAAAGUAGUCUGCAAGAGAUACAAAAUUAUAGUCCGCUGACAAUUGACAUGGGCGGCCCAUGGUGCGAAACUUACUGCUGAUUGGAUGCCAUGGUGGGACCCAGCAGAUCAUCCAAUCAGUGCUCUUCAUCUCAUGGCCCCAUCGGACAGUGGGACCAUAAAAAAUAGUGGUACCAUGGAUAAUAAACUUUUAGGGUUGUUUGGAUUGCUAUAUUCCUCCCUAAUAUAAUCUAAUAGUAUCACAAUCACAAAUUAAAUAUCUGUCUCCUAAAGUCAUACUCGUUCACAGUCAAAAUCAAUUGUUUGUAUAUUCCACUAACUUUCCUUCAUUUGGUAAAUGAGAAUAGUCCUCUAGCAUUCACACAUUCGGAAAAAAAAAAAGAAAAAAAAGCCUUAUAGUGGUCUGCACUUCUACACAUCCUCCAUACGUUUCAGCUAUUUGUAUAUCAAAUUAGGUGGGCCUCACGAUAUUAUGCUUAUAAUAUCCUACAUAUAUAUUAGAUUACAAAUGAGUGCAUAUACAAUCAGCUACUACAAUAUCCACAUUUCACAGGGAACAAAAGAGGAUGAGAUCUUGGAUUUGGUUGGAAAUACUGAUUUUCUGGUGUUUGCUAGAUAUAUGCAGGUUUCCCAUUGAUGACCAGGGGCAUACCACUUUUGUCAUUGAGUACUUCAAAGAGAAGUACAGAGUUGUCCUCCACAAGAUUUUCUGGCCAUGUCUUCAAGUUGGCAGUGAUAACAGACCAACAUACUUGCCUAUGGAGGUUUGUCAAAUAGUUGAAGGGUAGCGAUACUCGAGGAAAUUGAAUGUGAGGCAAGUUACUGCCAUCUUGAGGGCUGCUUGUCAACGUCCUGUUGACAGGGAGAAACAUUCAUGAGGAAAUUGAAUGUGAGGCAAGUUACUGCCAUCUUUUGAGUUUUUAAUUCUUUUUUUUUUUCUACUUCUUAGAAUUUGAAUUUUUGAUGGUUUUGUGAUCUGGGUUUUUGAUCGUUUGGUCUGAAACAUCAGAUUGCAUGAUGGGUUUUGAUUUUUAAGCUUUUUCUCCCAUUUAGGUCCUUGUUAAGAUCAUGGGUUUCUC